AUGGACCACUGAGGAUCUCAUUAAAAUGCAGAUUCUGACUCAGGAGGACCUGGGUGGGGCCUGAGAGUCUGCAUUUCUAACAGACUCCCAGGAGACGCUGAU
rnacentral:miRNA from 1 species